rnacentral:rRNA from 1 species
AAUCAACGCUGGCGGCGUGCCUCAGACAUGCAAGUCGAACGAUUAAAGCUCUCUUCGGAGAGUGUAUAGAGUGGCGCACGGGUGAGUAACACGCAAGUAAUCUACCUUCGAGUGGGGAAUAACGUCCGGAAACGGACGCUAAUACCGCAUAAUGCAGCGGCAUCGCAAGAUGACAGUUGUUAAAGAUUUAUCGCUUGAAGAGGAGCUUGCGGCAGAUUAGCUAGUUGGUAAGGUAAUGGCUUACCAAGGCUACGAUCUGUAACCGGUCUAAGAGGACGGUCGGUCACACUGACACUGAAUAACGGGUCAGACUCCUACGGGAGGCAGCAGUCGGGAAUUUUGGGCAAUGGGCGAAAGCCUGACCCAGCAACGCCGCGUGAAGGAUGAAGUAUUUCGGUAUGUAAACUUCGAAAGAAUAGGAAGAAUAAAUGACGGUACUAUUUAUAAGGUCCGGCUAACUACGUGCCAGCAGCCGCGGUAAUAC